CGGCAAUCAUCCGUUGCUUUCGUGCUUGAACUUGCUGCAGUCGCUCUUCCACGGUGUCCUGUGAAAAUUACAAAAUCAGAUAACAAGGGAGACAGAAACUUGAUGUGUUCAUCAAAAAUAACAUCAAUUGGAGAGAGAGACUAUGAAGUGAAAAUGCUACCUUGACAAUGAAUCUUCUAACACGAACAGUCAGCUUUUGGCCAAUCCGGUGAAUUCGCAUGAUUGCUUGCUCCUCUACUGCAGGAUUCCACCAUGGAUCCUGCAUUCCAUAUGAUUCAAGAAGAUUCAGCCUCAAACAAGCCCAAAAAUGGGACAUAAAAGUUACAACAAAGAUGAAGAAGGUCUGCAUACCAUUAGGAAGACAUUUGAAGCAGCAGUCAGAUUCAAGCCCACGCCACCUGCUUUAAGCGACAUCAACAGUACCUGAAACAUGAAAAACAUCGAUGAAAUGGUUGCUCGUCAUCGACAAAAGACAGCUGCUUUUAGUCGUAGUUGAACGAGAGAAAAAUGCAAAAUAAAGAGUGCUUGCCGUUUUUUCUUGACUCUCAGCAAACUCAUGGAGGACCUUCCCUCGUUGUUUCUGCGCCAACUUCCCAUCAAAUCUCAAGAAUCCAAAAUUUCUCCUCCUGAGUGGAAUUUCCAAGAGAUCCAAGAAUGAAGUCCACUGGCUGAAUACUAUGCUCUUUUCACCAGAACCCGAGCUGCGAAUCUUUUCUAAGCACUCCAAGAGUUUGGAUAUCUUUGAUGAUUCCUUCCAGUUCUUUUCAACAUCAACUCUGAAUUUGUUUCCAGAUGGGCACGUGAUGAGAUCAGAUUUACUGAUCAUCUGCCUGCAAAUGGGGCAGACCCCGGAAGCUGGAGUCCUCCAGCUAGAGAGAAGACAUUCUCUGCACAUCCUAUGCGCACAGGGCGUCAACACAGGGUCAUCUGAAGACUCUAGGCAAAUGGGGCAUUCAGCAUUUUCACCAUUGCGAAGACCUUCAACAACUUCUUCAACAUACGCUCGAGAAGGGCCAGUUCCACAGCCUGCAUCAGAGUUAGAUUGGAGGAACCUCCUCGCCAGUUUGUUCAAGUCCGAAUAAGCUGUUGUAUCAGCUCGACUGCAGACAAGUUAGAGCCGAUAAUGAUUCUUUGUAGGAGAGAGAACAUAGGGAAACACUGACAGAACUUCAAAAUUUAUUUUGUAUGUACCUCAUAACUAGGAAAGGGUGGUUGCAACAUUGCCUCAGUCGAAGUAGCAGCUCGAGAAUAUUUGCAAAGUUAUGGAGAACCUUUCCUUGAGCAACAAAUUGGUCGAAUUGUACCUGUUUGUUCCAUAAAAUAAUUACAAUUCGUAAGCUAUGCAUAAAUAAUUUACAUGGA